rnacentral:rRNA from 1 species
GACGGAGGGUGCAAGCGUUGCUCGGAAUCACUGGGCGUAAAGGGUGCGUAGGCGGCCUCGCAAGUCUGGCGUGAAAGCCCAAGGCUCAGCCUUGGAAGUGCGCUCGAAACGGCGAGGCUGGAGUGCCGGAGGGGAGAGUGGAAUUCCCGGUGUAGCGGUGAAAUGCGCAGAUAUCGGGAGGAACACCAAUGGCGAAGGCAGCUCGCUGGGACGGUACGUGACGCUGAGACGCGAAAGCGUGGGGAGCAAACAGGG